UGAAAUUCAGAAAAGCUACACAAAGA
rnacentral:piRNA from 1 species